ensembl:lncRNA
GCUGUGUCCCAAUUCCUAGGACGCAUCCUUCGAAGGCUGCAUUCGAAGGAUGCGUCGACGCCGAUUGCGUCACAGCGUCGCGCCAAGUGCUGUCCCAAUUCCAAGGGUCCUUCAAAUGCGGCCUACGAAUGCAGCCUUCUUUUCCCGGAUUUGAAGGAUGCAUCGGCUGUAUCCUUCACGGCCCAACGUAUCCCAAGAUCCUUCACGGCCCAACGUAUCCCUCCCAAGAUUAAUUGCGCAUUCAAUCAAUGGAGAUGGCGGAGAAUGGCGAUUUAGGUUCUGCAUUUAAAUGAUUGCAAGUAUCCAGGGUCAGGAGAGGGGGUAGGUGGGAAACCCACUGCUGCCACUUGGCCCUGGUUGGUCCCCAUGGAUGAGGUAUUGGGACAGAGGCAUUCCACCAACCCCCCUGUCCUAAUUGCCUCCAUCCCUGAGAACACACCAGGGCCAAGUACAGCAAGUACAGCAGUGGUGGAUCAGGAGGUGGAGGACAAGGAUCAGGAGGAGGAAAGACAGCGAGGGCCAAGGUCCAGAAAGAGGGACAGAGAUGAAGACAUGUUCCAGAGUCGCUCACUAUCUUCCGAAAAGGACUCAAGACUCACCUGUUCAGAGUCCACCUCGACUGCAU